GAGGGGGUGCAAGCGUUAUUCGGAAUUAUUGGGCGUAAAGGGUGCGUAGGCGGUAUGCUAAGUCAACUGUUAAAUUCUCAGGGCCUAACCGGGAGGGCAAGCGGUAGAUACUGGUGUACUAGAGGAUGGAAGAGAGAAGUGGAAUUCUCGGAGUAGCGGUAAAAUGCGUAGAUCUCGAGAGGAACACCGAUGGCGAAGGCAGCUUCUUGGUCCACUCCUGACGCUGAGGCACGAAAGCGUGGGUAGCAAACAGGAUUAGAUACCCUGGUAGUCCACGCCGUAAACGAUGAUCACUAGACGUUAGCUCUGUUUUCAGGGUUAGUGUCGCAGCUAACGCGUUAAGUGAUCCGCCUGGGGAGUACGGUCGCAAGAUUA
rnacentral:rRNA from 1 species